rnacentral:sRNA from 1 species
CUUCAUUAAAUUAUCCAACAGUUGUUUAUUGAUUGUGCUUGUCUUUCUGUUUCAGAUCUCACAUUCUUGAAGGUGGCAUUGAAGAGCACUAAGAUCGGAAGAUGAGUGAGCUUGACCAGUUACGGCAGGAGGCCGAGCAACUUAAGAACCAGAUUCGAGUAUGUAGUUGUGUGUGCUUGGUUUUAUUAAUCAUUUGAGUUUCAAGUUAGAUGUUACUUGUUUUAGGAAAAAUGGUUUACAGGAUGACUUGUUCUAUGUUUUAUAUGAAAUUGAAUCUUAGUUGGCCCAGGAUGUACUAAUUAUAGAUCUAGAUACUUAGCCUAGUACAUUGUUUUCGGGAUUUUGCUUUCUGUAUACAAUUUGUUAUUUAAAUAUACACCAGAUGUCUCUGUAGAAUUUAUAAGUGUCUUUUGCAUUCUUUAUCAUAACCUUGAAAAUUUGUGAUACCCUGGGCCACUGAUCAGACUGUGAUAUCUACCUCCCUCCCCUGAAUAUUGGGACUAUUGACAGCAGAAAACUUGCUUAAAAGUAAGAGUAUUAACAACAAUUAAAAAAGUAUUUCAGGUA